GGGAGAAGAGGAGGAGGCUAAUUUUUAUUCAUCAUUCAUCAAAAAAACCUAAACAUGAGGGUGAACCCAUAUAAAUAGGGUCAAAAAAUAACAAAUAGAUUCCUACAAAUAAAACAAUCCCGAAAAGGUCCUAAAAUGACAAUUUGCAAAUAAAUCCAAAUGAUAAUAUGCAAAUAAAUCCAAUCAACAUAAAAUAAAUCUAACUAAAAUAAAUCAAUCUAAAAUAAAAUCAGGCUGGCUGAAUUGCUGGGAUCCACUGAGCUGGGGUGAUCCUGUGGCGACCGGCUGACCUGGCACUGGUGUCCGCACCAACUCUCCUCGGGUGGAAAGAAGUCGACCUCGACGAAAGUGGCUCGGUAAAGCCUCGGUAGUACUCCAACAAGUCGGGGUCAAUCGACGGUCUCUCCUCAUGCUGGAUCCAAGUAUAACCGGACUUUGGUCGUCCACGCCAACGAACCAGAAAACGUUGGAUGCCUCCAUCACUGUCAAAAACUAUUUGCUCGGCUAAAAUAGAAUCAAUAUACUCUUUUUGUGCUCGAUGGAGGAUAAAAGGAAACGAAGAUGGCAUGGAAUCAAUAAUAGGGUAAACAUCGGGAGCAGGAGAGUGUGCAGCAAAAGAGUCUUCAGGGAUUGCAACCAAAUCUAUAAUAUUAAGAGUAAGGCUAUGACCAAAAUCAAAUGAAAAGUCAAUGGCAUAGGCGUCAGUGCCAUCCUUG
rnacentral:lncRNA from 1 species